GUAAGCUCUUUGAUUUCCUAGCUCUGGAAUGGCGUUUUCUGAGGUAAGGUUUGGUUUCCCUCAUUUAUCAGCAUGUUUCUGCUGGACCACAGGUUGAUAAGCCAAGAACAUCUUAAAUGCUACGGUAAUACUCUUUCAGCUUGAGAUAAACCAUUACAUGAACAAGAGCAUUCGCCUUAAGCUCUGGUUUCAGUAAGCCCUCCUUCGCUCUGUGUGAUCUUUUGGUUCUCCUCCUUGCUGCUGCCACUAAUCUAGUUACCCAACAGAUGCUUAAUUGAAUCACUCCCAAGUCCCAAAUGUCAAAGAGAUGAUUAUCGACUCAGGCUACAAAUAGAAUUCUUCAAUGAUCGGAUAUUGCUCUAAGUGUAGGAGGUGAUGGGUUCAAAUUUUAAUACUCUUUUCCCUUUAAAAUGUUGAGGUAGAGGGAAACUGCAAUCUUCCAGGCUAUUAGUUCUCUAAGACCGGUUGUUUGCAUUAGUUGUCCUUGUUUUUGCAUCCUUUGGUGGUUACCAGUUUCUUACCAGCUGUGGUACGCAAUAGGGUGUUUGGUUUCGGUUCUAGUCUUAGUUUGCUUAAGAAUUGAUACGGAUUCAAAAUUUCGAUAUG
rnacentral:misc_RNA from 1 species